UGCGGUAGCGUUGGGAUGUCAUAUGGCCAGGGGCGAUGCCGUAUUCGCUCCGGCGAACUGAACCCCGCUGAGAAGCAGGAGGACGUUGGCUGUAGCGAGACCUUGACCGCAGGAGCGAGCGGAUGGUGGCGAGAGAGGAGGGAGGUGAAACCUGAGCAGCGACAACAAAUCAUUGAGUAAGCGGCGGCGGUUGCGGCGACCUUGAGAACGGGAAGAGUUCCUGGCCGCUGAUCGAAGACAAACUCUAGGUGAGGAGGCGUCGGCGCGUGUCAGAUGCGGCGCAUCCAGCAUGGAGGCCGUAGACCCGGGGAAGGCCCGGACCACAAUUUGGUGGGUCGCCUGACCUUCAUGCACUGACACAGCCGUACCCCCUCACCCCAUCGUGUCACCGCGGGUGCCACUUGGCUGUGCUGGUGACAUGAGCGUGGUGAGCGGCGUGGCUUAUAUAAGGACAGAGGUGGCACAGUCGGACUCAUCCGUCGCCGGAACAAGAUUUCCUUCCGCUUCGCAGCAACGCAUCAAAAGCAAACAUGCUGAGGAACGUUCUCAUCGCUGUUCUGCUGCUGGCAGCCGUCUUCUGCAUUGCCUCGGCUCAGUUCGGAUAUGGCCGUGGUUUCGGAUAUGGCCGCGGCUUCGGCUACGGACGUGGUUUUGGCUAUGGUCGUGGUUUCUAUGGAGGAUACGGCCGUGGCUAUUACGGCGGCUUCGGACGCGGCUUCGGCUACGGGAGAGGAUUCUACGGCUGAACAACACAACCGCUUUCAAGAAUGGAAACCACUUCACCCAUGUUCAUAGCAGCACAAUUUCCAGCCUACCAUUUUUCGAGUUUGUAAUAAAACGAGUGAUCAUACCCUGGAA
rnacentral:lncRNA from 1 species